UGUGACAAUUGGUCUUUUUUUGCUGUUUGUUUACAAUACUACAACCAUGAGGGGCUUUGCCCCAACAUGGAGCCGGCCAGGAGGAAAUAUGGAGGACAGCCAGCAUUAAAAAGAACUGCUGCAACCAAGGGGAUUGUCGUAAUGCAGGCUGUGUUUGCGAAUUUGCAAUUUAUGCACCCAUCACUCUCAACGUUGCUACGGCUGCUUCACGGUGAAGUUCAGCUGAAGGUUGCAUUUCAAUGCAAACAUGAAUUGCACAUGAGAUGAAGAGUUGAGAUCAUCUCAAAUGACGGAGAGAGCGAAAGACAGGAAAACGAAAAAUAAAAUGUUGAACUACACUAAAGAGAG